GACGAACGCUGGCGGCGUGCUUAACACAUGCAAGUCGAACGGAAAGGCCCUGCUUUUGUGGGGUGCUCGAGUGGCGAACGGGUGAGUAACACGUGAGUAACCUGCCCUUGACUUUGGGAUAACUUCAGGAAACUGGGGCUAAUACCGGAUAGGAGCUCCUGCUGCAUGGUGGGGGUUGGAAAGUUUCGGCGGUUGGGGAUGGACUCGCGGCUUAUCAGCUUGUUGGUGGGGUAGUGGCUUACCAAGGCUUUGACGGGUAGCCGGCCUGAGAGGGUGACCGGCCACAUUGGGACUGGGGUACGGCCCAGACUCAUACGGGAGGCAGCAGUGGGGAAUAUUGCACAAUGGGCGGAAGCCUGAUGCAGCAACGCCGCGUGCGGGAUGACGGCCUUCGGGUUGUAAACCGCUUUCGCCUGUGACGAAGCGUGAGUGACGGUAAUGGGUAAAGAAGCACCGGCUAACUACGU
rnacentral:rRNA from 1 species